rnacentral:tRNA from 1 species
ACUUUUAAAGGACAAUAGCUAUCCACUGGUUUUAGGCAUCAGCAAUCUUGGUGCAAUUCCAAGUAAAAGUA